GGCCGGGGCGUGCCAGUGCCUGGCCGAGCGCUACGCGGCGCUGGCCCUGGAGGGGCUGCUGGGCCGCCUGGGACCCCGCCUGCUCUGCCGCCUGCUCCUCGCCUGCCGCAGCGGGGACAGCUGGGACAAGGACGUGGGGACGCUGCCACCGCCCCGGAUGCUGGAGACCGUCGUGGUGCGGCUGGCGGAGUGUGUCAGCGAGGAGGACCCCAAAGGUGUCGGUGUCCCUGCGCUGUCCCUGCCCCUGGGCCCCUGUGCCCUGGGCCCCAUCUUCUGGUGCUCGGGCCCGGAGGCCGCCCGGCGCUGCCAGGCCCUGCAGCACUGCCAGGAGCACGUCUGGCUGUAGGGGGGCACCAGGACCCCCCAGCAUUGCACAAUAAAGUCUGGAUGCAC